rnacentral:rRNA from 1 species
AGUGAACGCUGGCGGUAGGCCUAACACAUGCAAGUCGAACGGCAGCACAGUAAGAGCUUGCUCUUACGGGUGGCGAGUGGCGGACGGGUGAGGAAUACAUCGGAAUCUACUUUUUCGUGGGGGAUAACGUAGGGAAACUUACGCUAAUACCGCAUACGACCUACGGGUGAAAGCAGGGGAUCUUCGGACCUUGCGCGAUUGAAUGAGCCGAUGUCGGAUUAGCUAGUUGGCGGGGUAAAGGCCCACCAAGGCGACUAUCCGUAGCUGGUCUGAGAGGAUGAUCAGCCACACUGGAACGUAGACACGGUCCAGACUCCUACGGGAGGCAGCAGUGGGGAAUAUUGGACAAUGGGCGCAAGCCUGAUCCAGCCAUACCGCGUGGGUGAAGAAGUCCUUCGGGUUGUAAAGCCCUUUUGUUGGGAAAGAAAAGCAGCAGGUUAAUACCCCGCUGUUCUGACGGUACCCAAAGAAUAAGCACCGGCUAACUUCGUG